rnacentral:rRNA from 1 species
AGUAACACGUGGAUAACCUACCUAUAAGACUGGGAUAACUUCGGGAAACCGGAGCUAAUACCGGAUAAUAUAUUGAACCGCAUGGUUCAAUAGUGAAAGACGGUUUUGCUGUCACCUAUAGAUGGAUCCGCGCCGCAUUAGCUAGUUGGUAAGGUGACGGCUUACCAAGGCAGCGAUGCGUAGCCGACCUGAGAGGGUGAUCGGCCACACUGGAACUGAGACACGGUCCAGACUCCUACGGGAGGCAGCAGCA